AUGGCUUUAAAUCACAAGAUGCCUCACAACUGAGUAAACAUCAGCUGUAGCUGAUAAAUAAAUCCAAAGAUAAAUCCUAAAUCCACCAUCAAGAAGUAAAAAAAAAUCAAGUUUGCAAGAAAAUGGUUAUCCAAAGGAUGUCACAUAUCGGCAUAACAGAAGUAUAUGUGAAGAACAAUAAUUGAUUAGAUUGAAUGUGGAUAACAUAGACACAAAUCACAGAAAAGACAAAACCAAAUUCUCAUUUAAAA
rnacentral:lncRNA from 1 species